CUCGUGUCGUUAAAUUUUAUACACGUGCAUAUGUAUUUUAUACAUAGUUUUACAUAAGCGAUCAAUCUUUGUUUCUGUAAAAGAAAGAAAAAAAGAAAAAAAAAAAAAGAAAGAAAAAACUUGAAAAUAUGUACCCAUUCAAAGAAGACACGAUCAUAUGUUUCCCACUACAGUUUCCCGUAAGCGUAAGCGAAGAAUCAUCAGUAUUUAUGAUAUGCUAAUUUCCCGUUACAAAUUCCGCGAUGUUUCGCGGAUGACUGCUCUUACCGGCUACAGCCAGUGGAAAAACCAUCCGUUUGGAAAACCAGUCGUCAACGAAGGAAUGGAGAGGAGCAGGAGAGAAGAGAAACUUGGAUAUAGAUAUAGAUAUAGCUUUAUAAAGAUUCGCCGAUUCUCAAGACAUCUAAAUGUGAAAUAUAAAAAAUAUCGAAGAAUAAGAUGGAUUUGUGCCAAGAUACUUUAAAAUCUGCUAACUAACUGAAUUCUCCGGGCGGAAACAGCAAUCUCUUGAAUCUAUUACACGAUUGAGUAUUAUAAAAAGUAAUAUUUAAUACAAGUAUUUUUAUUCGCACUUUUCCUUCCUCUUCUCUUUCUCUCUCAUUUUCUUCAUCCAAUACAAAAUUUACGUAAAGGAAAUGCGUAAGUACUUGUACGUUUCGCAAGAUUUUUAUACGCACACAUAAUAUAAAUACAUGUACGUAUUGUUAUUAUCAGAUCAGCGCGUUAGAGAAUCGUAGACGAUGAAAAUCUUACUCUAUCCAAGUUAAGGAUUACGACGGUCGCGGGGUGUUUGGUGGGACUAACUAGAGGGUGGCGCAAGAGUGGAGCGUGCAGACGAGAGCAGAGGCGGGGCACUCAUGUUUAUAUGCAUUGUAUUGCUAAAACCCUUUUAACCGAAUUACAUUUAGCGAUUCUAGUGCCGCUUUCCCGGCUCUCCUUCUCCCGAGUCUACCGGUGGUCGUCGUCACCCCUUAUGCGCUUUUCACUCUCCUCCCCCAACCUUCGAUUCUCCGUUCUAUCCUUUUUCUUUUCGUGGCGCAUAAUCCGUUGGCGCGACGAGGAGGGCGAACAACGACGACGACGACGACGACGACAUUGCGCUAGCUGUGGAAUAGUGGGGAGUCGUGGUGGGGUUGGAAAACCAAUGGGGCAAGAUUCCGAGACUUGGAACGGCAUCCCUGAAUUCUUGAUUCUCUUGGUAAACAAGUGCUUAGGUGAUUCACUGCUUGUUCGCUCCUAUCGGCCGUCGUCUGUUUCUAGACGCCAUUGUGUUUUGCGAUUCCACCUCGUUUUCCGGUCUAAUGGCUUUCCGUGACUAACGGUGGAUAAGGUUGCUCCGGAAACUCUUACUCCUGUUUCUAUUUAUCUUUUAUUUUCUUCUCUUCUUUACUUUUUUCUUUGUUUUUUUUUCUGUCGCUAUUUUUUUUCUUUUUUUAAUAAAUAUGUGCAUAUAUACAUCUUAAUGAUGUUUUUUUUUUUUUUUUUUCAGUUUCAUUCCUCAUCGAUAUCAUUUAUCGAGCGAUGACAUAAAAAAUAUUGCAAAUUAUGUUCGCGAUUGUUAUUAUUAUUAUUUGAGGAUUAAUCGAAAUUGUAAUACAUAUUCGAGAAAUAUAUUAAUUUAGAAAAUGUUUUUUCUGAUGUAAAAAAAUAUUCGUAAAAUAAUGCUUGCAGAACGAACAAUCGCGAGAACGAUAGAUAUCCGAAGAUCCAAAUUGUUUCAUUCGCGGAUCUCGCGUAGGAGUCCAUCAUUAGCGCUAACAAGGUUGGCCCGAGGCUACAAAGGGGACUUCACCCUUCGUCGAGCUAACCUCUAGUUUGGUCCCUUUUAGAAACAAGAGGGGAUAAUAAGAUCUACGACAAUCAAGUAAGGAUGUCGAGAGAGAAAGAGAGAGUAUUGCGAGAUGCGGCUUAUCGAAUGAACUUUGGCGUGAUGAUAUUCGUCAUAUUAUAUUCACAUGUUAUUAUUUCAUGUUAAAGUGAAUUCAUUAUUUAUUGAUCAAUUUGUAUCUCUUUUUUGUACGUAAUGCUUGUACAUAUGAUAUUUUCUUUAAAAAAAUUUUCUUCCUUUUAUUUAUCGUGAUUUAUUCGUGAUUUUUCUUUUACAUUAUUAAUAGCAGACAUUUUUAAAUAUUGAGAUACUAUUUGCUACAAUAUUGACAACAUACGUACUUUAUAUGCACUUAUUUAUUUAUUUGCAUAAUCUUUAAGAUUUAUAACAGAAAAUAUCUGUAAUGAUAAAUGAAAGAAAGAU